UGGGGAAUAUUGCACAAUGGGCGAAAGCCUGAUGCAGCAACGCCGCGUGAGGGACGACGGCCUUCGGGUUGUAAACCUCUUUUAGCAAGGAAGAAGCGAAAGUGACGGUACUUGCAGAAAAAAGCGCCGGCUAACUACGUGCCAGCAGCCGCGGUAAUACGUAGGGCGCAAGCGUUAUCCGGAAUUAUUGGGCGUAAAGAGCUCGUAGGCGGUUUGUCGCGUCUGCUGUGAAAAACCCGAGGCUCAACCUCGGGCCUGCAGUGGGUACGGGCAGACUAGAGUGCGGUAGGGGAGAUUGGAACUCCUGGUGUAGCGGUGGAAUGCGCAGAUAUCAGGAAAGAACACCGAUGGCGAAAGGCAGAUCUCUGGGCCGUAAACUGACGCUGAGGAGCGAAAAGGGUGGGGAGCAAAACAGGCUUAGAUACCCUGGUAGUCCACCCCGUAAAACGUU
rnacentral:rRNA from 1 species